ACACUUACCAUUAAUUAAAACAACCACAAGUACAAUUCAGUCCAUUGAAGUGAAAUCUGCUGCAACACGCCUUCUUCAACGUAACCUUUACAAAGAUUUAAAUCCCUUAAUAAGAACCCACACGCCAGACUAACAAAGAAAUCCAACCGAAACCACUUACAAAACCUACCACAAUGAGCUAAAAGCAAAUAGAACGUCGAACCCCCACGUUUAUGACGACCAAAUCAUUAAGCGAAAAAACAAAAGAAUUAACACAGAAAGAGAGGAUUGCAGGAAGAAACAGAAAAAAAAAAGAGAUAGAAGAAACUAGGAACAAAACGUCAGAUGUGAAACAGAAAGGGAAUUUGGGAAAAAUAAAAUAAAAUAAUAAUGAUAAUAUCAAAUAAAAUCUCAACAUCCCUACUAACAACACAAUCCCAACUUCCUUAGAAUCCCAAUACCACUAAAACUCUCAAUCUGCCAACCGAAACAAAAAUUAACACCCUCACUCACGCAGGGAUUCGAACACAAGAUCUUCAACACAAUAACCCCCUUACCAUUCAAACCAAUAGGCUUAUUCUGAGAUGGAUUAACAGACAAUUAUAUAUAAGCCCACACAACAAGGGUAGAGCUUGGAUCUAAAAUAGCAAAAUUAUCAAAGGUGAGACUUGAACCCAAGACCUUACACACACA
rnacentral:lncRNA from 1 species